GUAGGGAAUAUUGCGCAAUGGAGGCAACUCUGACGCAGCCAUGCCGCGUGCAGGAAGAAGGCGCUACGCGUUGUAAACUGCUUUUAACCGGGAAGAAACCCCAGGACGUGUCCUGGGUUGACGGUACCGGAGGAAUAAGCACCGGCUAACUUCGUGCCAGCAGCCGCGGUAAUACGAAGGGUGCAAGCGUUAUCCGGAUUCAUUGGGUUUAAAGGGUGCGUAGGCGGAGCGUUAAGUCAGUGGUGAAAUCCUGCAGCUUAACUGUAGACUUGCCAUUGAUACUGGCGCUCUUGAGUGCGCUUGAAGUGGGCGGAAUGUGCCGUGUAGCGGUGAAAUGCUUAGAUAUGGCACAGAACACCAAUUGCGAAGGCAGCUCACUAAGGCGAUACUGACGCUGAGGCACGAAAGCGUGGGGAUCGAACAGGAUUAGAUACCCUAGUAGUCC
rnacentral:rRNA from 1 species